rnacentral:rRNA from 1 species
GAUGAACGCUGGCGGCGUGCUUAACACAUGCAAGUCGAACGAUAACGCUCAGCUUGCUGGGUGUUAUAGUGGCGAACGGGUGAGUAACACGGGAGUAACCUGCCCUUUACUCUUGGAUAAGCCUGGGAAACGAGGUCUAUAACCUGAUAGGACCGCCUACCUCCUGGUGGGAGUUGGAGAGAUUUAUCGGUUUUGGAAUGACUGGCGGCGUAACAGCUUUUGCGAGAGGUAAGGGUACACCAAGACGACGACGGGGAGCCGGCCUGGGAGGGUGACCGGCCACCCUGGGACUGAGGGACGGCCCAGACUCCUACGGGGGGCAACAGUGGGGAAUAUUGCACAAUCGGCGCAAGCCUGAUGAAGAGACCCCGCGUGUGGGAAGACGGCCUUCUGGUUGUAAACCUCUUUCAGUAGGGAAGAAGCGAGAGUGACGGUACCCGCAGAAGAAGCACCGGCUAACUUCGUG